UUACGACCAUAUCACAUUGAAACACCACUUCCUAAUGUAUGUGAUCACCGAAGUUAAGCAACAUCGAGCCUGGUCAUUACCUAGAUGGGUGACCGAUUAGAAAUACCAGGUGCUGUAAG